rnacentral:rRNA from 1 species
ACACGAGCGGCGAACGGGUGAGUAACACGUGAGCAACCUGCCCCUGACUCUGGGAUAAGCGGUGGAAACGCCGUCUAAUACCGGAUACGACCCACCACCUCAUGGUGGAGGGUGGAAAGUUUUAUCGGUCAGGGAUGGGCUCGCGGCCUAUCAGCUUGUUGGUGGGGUAACGGCCUACCAAGGCGAUUACGGGUAGCCGGCCUGAGAGGGCGACCGGCCACACUGGGACUGAGACACGGCCCAACUCCUGCGGGAGGCAGCAGUGGGGAAUAUUGCACAAUGGGCGAAAGCCUGAUGCAGCGACGCCGCGUGGGGGAUGACGGCCUUCGGGUUGUAAACCUCUUUUACCACCAACGCAGGCUCCACGUUCUCGUGGGGUUGACGGUAGGUGGGGAAUAAGGACCGGCUAACUACGUGCCAGCAGCCGCGGUAAUACGUAGGGUCCGAGCGUUGUCCGGAAUUAUUGGGCGUAAAGAGCUCGUAGGCGGCAUGUCGCGUCUGCUGUGAAAGACCGGGGCUUAACUCCGGUUCUGCAGUGGAUACGGGCAUGCUAGAGGUAGGUAGGGGAGACUGGAAUUCCUGGUGUAGCGGUGAAAUGCGCAGAUAUCAGGAGGAACACCGGUGGCGAAGGCGGGUCUCUGGGCCUUACCUGACGCUGAGGAGCGAAAGCAUGGGGAGCGAACAGGAUUAGAUACCCUGGUAGUCCAUGCCGUAAACGUUGGGCGCUAGGUGUGGGGACUUUCCACGGUUUCCGCGCCGUAGCUAACGCAUUAAGCGCCCCGCCUGGGGAGUACGGCCGCAAGGCUAAAACUCAAGGAAUUGACGGGGGCCCGCACAAGCGGCGAAGCAUGCGGCCUUAAUUCGAACGCAACGCGAAAACCUUACCAAGGUGA